rnacentral:rRNA from 1 species
UUUGCCUACGGGAGGCAGCAGUCGAGAAUCAUUCACAAUGGGGGAAACCCUGAUGCAGCGACGCCGCGUGAGUGAAGAAGUAUCUCGGUACGUAAAGCUCUAUCAGCAGGGAAGAAAAUGACGGUACCUGACUAAGAAGCCCCGGCUAACUACGUGCCAGCAGCCGCGGUAAUACGUAGGGGGCAAGCGUUAUCCGGAUUUACUGGGUGUAAAGGGAGCGUAGACGGCAGCGCAAGUCUGGAGUGAAAUGCCGGGG